UGAUAGGCUGGGUGUGUAAGCGUAGCGAUACGUUGAGCUAACCAGUACUAAUGAACCGUGAGGCUUAACCUUA
rnacentral:rRNA from 1 species